AUUGGGUUUAAAGGGAGCGUAGGCCGGAGAUUAAGCGUGUUGUGAAAUGUAGACGCUCAACGUCUGCACUGCAGCGCGAACUGGUUUCCUUGAGUACGCACAAAGUGGGCGGAAUUCGUGGUGUAGCGGUGAAAUGCUUAGAUAUCACGAAGAACUCCGAUUGCGAAGGCAGCUCACUGGAGCGCAACUGACGCUGAAGCUCGAAAGUGCGGGUAUCGAACAGGAUUAGAUACCCUGGUAGUCCGCACGGUAAACGAUGGAUGCCCGCUGUUGGUCUGAAUAGGUCAGCGGCCAAGCGAAAGCAUUAAGCAUCCCACCUGGGGAGUACGCCGGCAACGGUGAAACUCAAAGGAAUUGACGGGGGCCCGCACAAGCGGAGGAACAUGUGGUUUAAUUCGAUGAUACGCGAGGAACCUUACCCGGGCUUGAAUUGCAGAGGAAGGAUUUGGAGACAAUGACGCCCUUCGGGGCCUCUGUGAAGGUGCUGCAUGGUUGUCGUCAGCUCGUGCCGUGAGGUGUCGGCUUAAGUGCCAUAACGAGCGCAACCCCUCUCCUUAGUUGCCAUCAGGUUAAGCUGGGCACUCUGGGGACACUGCCACCGUAAGGUGUGAGGAAGGUGGGGAUGACGUCAAAUCAGCACGGCCCUUACGUCCGGGGCUACACACGUGUUACAAUGGCAGGUACAGAGAGAC
rnacentral:rRNA from 1 species